GAUGAACGCUAGCUACAGGCUUAACACAUGCAAGUCGAGGGGAAACGACAUCGAAAGCUUGCUUUUGAUGGGCGUCGACCGGCGCACGGGUGAGUAACGCGUAUCCAACCUGCCCACCACUUGGGGAUAACCUUGCGAAAGUAAGACUAACACCCAAUGACGUCUCUAGAAGACACCUGAAAGAGAUUAAAGAUUUAUCGGUGAUGGAUGGGGAUGCGUCUGAUUAGCUUGUUGGCGGGGUAACGGCCCACCAAGGCGACGAUCAGUAGGGGUUCUGAGAGGAAGGUCCCCCACAUUGGAACUGAGACACGGUCCAAACUCCUACGGGAGGCAGCAGUGAGGAAUAUUGGUCAAUGGGCGAGAGCCUGAACCAGCCAAGUAGCGUGCAGGAUGACGGCCCUAUGGGUUGUAAACUGCUUUUAUAAGGGAAUAAAGUGAGUCUCGUGAGACUUUUUGCAUGUACCUUAUGAAUAAGGACCGGCUAAUUCCGUGCCAGCCGCCGCGGUAA
rnacentral:rRNA from 1 species